rnacentral:rRNA from 1 species
UACGAAGGGUGCAAGCGUUACUCGGAAUUACUGGGCGUAAAGCGUGCGUAGGCGGUUUGUUAAGUCCGUUGUGAAAGCCCUGGGCUCAACCUGGGAAUUGCAGUGGAUACUGGCGAGCUAGAGUGCGGUAGAGGAUGGUGGAAUUCCCGGUGUAGCGGUGAAAUGCGUAGAGAUCGGGAGGAACACCCGUGGCGAAGGCGGCCAUCUGGACCAGCACUGACGCUGAGGCACGAAAGCGUGGGGAGCGAACAGG